AAAUUGAAGAGUUUGAUCAUGGCUCAGAUUGAACGCUGGCGGCAGGCCUAACACAUGCAAGUCGAACGGUAACAGGAAACAGCUUGCUGUUUCGCUGACGAGUGGCGGACGGGUGAGUAAUGUCUGGGAAACUGCCUGAUGGAGGGGGAUAACUACUGGAAACGGUAGCUAAUACCGCAUAAUGUCGCAAGACUAAAGAGGGGGACCUUCGGGCCUCUUGCCAUCGGAUGUGCCCAGAUGGGAUUAGCUAGUAGGUGGGGUAACGGCUCACCUAGGCGACGAUCCCUAGCUGGUCUGAGAGGAUGACCAGCCACACUGGAACUGAGACACGGUCCAGACUCCUACGGGAGGCAGCAGUGGGGAAUAUUGCACAAUGGGCGCAAGCCUGAUGCAGCCAUGCCGCGUGUAUGAAGAAGGCCUUCGGGUUGUAAAGUACUUUCAGCGGGGAGGAAGGGAGUAAAGUUAAUACCUUU
rnacentral:rRNA from 3 species